GACGAACGCUGGCGGCGUGCUUAACACAUGCAAGUCGAACGAUGAAGCCGGCGCUUGCUCCGGUGGCUUAGUGGCGAACGGGUGAGUAACACGUGAGCAAUCUGCCCUUGACUCUGGGAUAACUGCGGGAAACUGUAGCUAAUACCGGAUACGACAUCUUGGGGCAUCCCCGGGUGUGGAAAGAAUUUCGGUCAAGUAUGAGCCCGCGGCCUAUCAGCUAGUUGGUGAGGUAAUGGCUCCCCAAGGCGACGACGGGUAGCCGGCCUGAGAGGGUGACCGGCCACACUGGAACCGAGACACGGUCCAGACUCCUACGGGAGGCAGUAGUGGGGAAUAUUGCACAAUGGGCGAAAGCCUGAUGCAGCAACGCCGCGUGAGGGAUGAAGGCCUUCGGGUUGUAAACCUCUUUUAGCAGGGAAGAAGCGAAAGUGACGGUACCUGCAGAAAAAGCACCGGCUAACUACGUGCCAGCCGCCGCCGUAA
rnacentral:rRNA from 1 species